rnacentral:rRNA from 1 species
AGGAUGAACGCUGGCGGCGUGCCUAACACAUGCAAGUCGAACGUCCUGUCUCGCAAGAGGCAGGGAGUGGCGGACGGGUGAGUACCACGUGGGUCAUCUACCGUGAGGUGAGGAAUACCGGCGAGAAAUCGCCGACAAGACCGCAUAGGCUCGAUGCAAGUCGAGCAAAGCUCUUUCGAGAGAGGGAGCGCCACACGAGGAGCCUGCGCCCGAUUAGCUAGCUGGUGGAGUAACGGUUCACCAGGGCGACGAUCGGUAGCUGGUCUGAGAGGACGAUCAGCCACACUGGGAUUGAGAACGGCCCAGACUCCUACGGGGGGCAGCAGUGGGGAAUAUUGCACAAUGGGCGCAAGCCUGAUGCAGCGACGCCGCGUGAGGGAUGAAGGCCUUCGGGUUGUAAACCUCUUUCAGUAGGGAACAAGGCCGGCUUUUGGUGGUUGAGGUACUGCAGAGAAGCGCGGCUAACUACGUGCCAGCA